CUUGUCUCUGUCCUGGCUGGGCUGUCCAGUCUUUGCACCUUUGCUCUGAAAGACAAUGGGAACCAAAGGCCACUGUCACCAUGGCAUAUGAGCAUUGGCCCCAGUAGGUCUGCAUCUUUUAAUGGUGGGUGGCAGUGGGUGGUACACUGGGAGGCCCAGGAAGUAGGAAAUCCUCUUCAGCAUCCAGGGGAAAUAUGCUCAGAACAGUGUCCGGUCUGUGGUAACUACAGGGGAGCUGUUAGCUGUCAUCCUUGCCCCCAGCCCAGCUCUGAGGUCAAAAGGGCAGAACUUCCUGUCGGAAUUUUAAAGCCUCUGUCGCCUUGAUUUUGUUCCUGGCUCAAUGGAGAUGAAUUCCAAGUUGAAGACAAACAAUUGUGCCUUGUGAACAGUCGUCCAUGUGUUGAAAAGACUCUAAGAGUGUUUUUUUUUUUUUUCCAAACCUGUCUCAGGGAAAAUUCCCCAUGGGGGAGGAAGGGAGAGUAAAAUCCAUGCUAGAAAGAGCAACUUCUGAUGACUCUGAGAAUGUGAUUUUCUAAAUAAAUUCAUGGAAGUCAAAAGUGUCUAAUAAUAA
rnacentral:lncRNA from 1 species